rnacentral:misc_RNA from 1 species
GAUGAAGAACGCAGCGAACUGCGAUAAGUAAUGUGAAUUGCAGAAUUCAGUGAAUCAUCGAGUCUUUGAACGCACAUUGCGCCCCCUGGCAUUACGGGGGGCAUGCCUGUCCGAGCGUCAUUGCUGCCCUUCAAGCCCGGCUUGUGUGUUGGGUCGUCGUCCCCCCCGGGGGACGGGCCCGAAAGGCAGCGGCGGCACCGCGUCCGGUCCUCGAGCGUAUGGGGCUUUGUCACCCGCUCGAUUAGGGCCGGCCGGGCGCCAGCCGGCGUCUCCAACCUUCUAUUUUACCAGGUUGACCUCGGAUCAGGUAGGGAUACCCGCUGAACUUAAGCAUAUCAAUAAGCGGAGGA